AGCAGGGGCCGGGAGGCCCCGCGGGGCGCAGGACGGCGUGGAGGGGCGCCCGCCUGGAGUGCAGUGGGGUCGGUGCGGUGCGGUGUGGCCGCGGGGGCUCCACGGCGCCAUCUGGCGGCGGUCGGGCCUGCGGGCUGCGCGGUCCCAGCUCUAGGAAGGAGAGGACGCGCUGGCGUGGGCUGAGACCAGAGCCCACGCGCUGCCCACACGCGCGCGUUCGUCCACGACAGUUGUGUGGGACUCAGGCCCUCUCUUUCGGCCUCCCCUUUCUUUCCUCCCUCUUUCCUUUCCCCUUUUCCUCCCCCCCUCCCCUUUCCUUCCCUUCCAUAUUGAAAAAGUGCUGUUUGGUAAACCUUUGCCUUUAUCAGGUUUCCCAUGGCCUUGUAGGAGCUGCCAUAGUAGUGUGAUGCCGUGUCCCUCCUGUAGAUGUAGGAUGUCACCACGGAGCUCACACCUGUCACAUCGCCGCAUUCCACUCAGGCUGUAUCUCUGUAGUCAGAGCUUCCCCUGCCUGGCAUCUAGUGAGCUGCUGGCUGUCACUCUUACUAGAACUUGAGAGUGACUUCUGAUUUAGCGGAAUGCUCUGGAGCUCCGACCAAGUUACUGUGUAGGCUGUUUUGAAGAAUAAAAGUUUUUACAUUGUGAAAGAAUCCAAGUUACCUGCUUUUCUUCUAAGGUCGUGGUGACAGUUUCACCCUUGUGUACAGAUCUCCAGAGUGAUCAGGAUGUGCCUGGUGAUGUGGGCAGCUUUUUUGCUUACCAGUAAUGCCUCAGCACAGUGGUUAGGCUGACUACUGACUGACCAGCCCUGAAACCCUCUGCUUGGCUGGACCCUCACAUUUCUGGAGAACCAGGAGAGGAUCCCAGGAGUGACACCAAGAGCAGCAGGGCAGUGAGAACCAAGAGCAGAAAACACCUGUGGGGGCCCUGGUAGGUCUGCAAAGACUGCAAGAAGCUGCUGAAAGAAUUCUGGAAAGCUGAGCCGGGUGUGGUGGUGCACACCUGUGAUCCCAGCCCUUGGGAGGCUGAGGCAGGAGAAACACUAUGAGUUUGAGGCCAGAGUGGGCUUCACAGUGAGUUCAAGGGCACCCUGAACUAUAGAGUGAGAUCCUACCUCAAAAAAACAACACAACACAAAUUAGCAGCUGCCAAGGGGUAAGGAGCGCUGGCUGCUGAGGAGCUGAUGGGUGACAGGGCGCUGUGACCCUCAGAGUUGUGGCUCUGAGGGGCACAGUGCUCAGGAGCAAGACCGAGUAGUCUGAGAACGGAGCUGGUCACACCAGGAGAGUGGCUUCUGGUGACCUGAUCUUCUUCUCAGAGACUGGCUCCACCCUGGCAGCAACAGGGACAGAGCCCUCCCUCCAGAGGCCCCCAAGCAGGAGAACAGAUGUGCAAUUUCCAUUCUGCCUGAGGCCAGGAAUCUGCAGAGCUGGUGACCUGGCCUGCAGCCCUCAUUGUCUUUGGAACUUGGGCCCUGUUUUGAGUUGAAGUGUGGUACAGAGAAAGCAUGCAUUGGUCCCCGAGUCCUGUAACCCAGGAUUUGGUUCUGUGUACGCUGAGGGCCUCCUCCAGAGGUGGGCAGGGUUCUCCCAGCAUCCGACACAUGCCCAGCCCCCCUUCCGGUCUUACCAUCCCCUUCUGCCUGCCAGGGACCUCCACCUCAGGCCUCGAUCACCACUGUCGUCUGCCUGUUCCUUGACUUCAUAGCUCUGGAAUCCCUCAGCAUGCUGCGCUCUAUGGGAUUUCUCUUGUUCCUUUCCAGAUGUCCAGGAUUUCUUGUCUGUGUCUCACUGUCUUUGGGCAGUUCCAGGGGGCAGCAGAGGCCUAGGAAACUUGGCCAGAGCACCAGGGUAACAUUUCCAGGCCCAAACAGCCCUGGUGCCUUCCAGGCAUCUCUGGACUUGAGUCCAGAACCAGGGUGCAUGCCCUUGGUUCAGCAAUGUAUUUUGAACGUGCAGCAAACAAAAACUCAUGAGCACGACAUAGUUCAGUGCAAAUGAACAGCAUUUGAAAGAGACAAGAAGAAAGGCUCUGUAUUAUUAGACGAUCCUGCCGUCCCUGUCCCCCAGAUUCCUGGGGUGUCCCCAGUGCAGGUGUCCCCCAGUGGGUGGCCAUAUAGACCUGAGCUGUGCCUUGGGCAGCCCUGCUCCUGUCUGUCCAUGUGGCUCUGUAACUUUGGGUGCUGUUUCUGGUACCCAAGGUGGAGUUUCGGUUCUCACCAUCAAGGGGAUAAAGUCUAAAAGGUUCACGGUAGCCUGUGGUGGUGGUGCAUGCCAGUGAUGGCAGAGGCCUGGGAGGCUGAGGCAGGAGGACUGCAAAUUCCAGCCUAACUUGGGCAAUUUAGAGACCUGGUCUCAAAAAUCAAACCUAGAGUUUUGGGAAAGUGGGGGAGCAGUGAGCAGCAGGGAAAGAACCUCUCCAAGUGUUGGUGUCCAGACCCUUGAAUACAGCAAAGGAGGAAGAGCGAUGACCGGAGCCGCGGGAGGCAGGAGACCAAACUCGAGCAGGAUCAGCUCUCAAACUUUAUUGCGUACAGCAAACCGGACCUAACAAGGUCCGCCACCCUCAACGUUGGUUCCUCUUCUGCCCGUUGGGGGCAGGAACAACCUCUUAUAAGGGGAAGCAGUAUCCAAUCACAGAGAAGCGCGUCUAACAAGCGGAUAGGCUAGCGUCACGGGUAACUGGGCAGACAUGACAAUUUGGCGGGCUUGUUCAGGCCGGGAAGAACCCGGAAGCAGGAAAUGGGCGCCAUCAUAGGCGGCUUCCCACAUCUCCCCCUUUUUUAUUUAUUAAAAUAGGAUGGUCUGUGGGUCCCUCCAAGAUGUCUAUGACCUUGUUGCUGUUAGACACCUAGGAGUGGGCCUACCUUGUAGGCCGAGGCAUGAGAGAAUGUAGAGGUCUAUACCCUGCUGUGCAUUACCCUGUUUUGUACAUAUCCUUGCGCCAGGACCAUGCUCAAGGUGAGUGGUUCAUUUUUUCGCAGGGCCAGGCUUUUGUGAACCGAACCUGGAUGCAUAUAGACAUUCAUUCCUGCCUUCCCCCCAACCUUUGGGGCGGACGGCACUGCAGUACCCUUGGUCUCGCAUCUCAAUGCCAAUAAUUUGACUCUGGGAGGGACCCCUGGCCUUAUAGGCCAUGUAUAUCUGAGUGGAGCCUGUCUUAGGUUGACCGGGAGGGCUUUUCCCGUCUUACCCGUCAUUGGCUUGCCCACUCAGCUCUUAUAGCUGAUGUUCUGCAAUGUGAAGGAGAUAUGCGGCGGCCUGCUGGCCUGCUGGGCCACCUGCUGCCAUUUGCAUGGCUGCCAUAGCUGUGACCUUGACCUGUUGCUGGGUUUGCAUAAGGCGGUCUAACAAGCAUUUGAUAACCACAAGCCCUACUAGGAUAGCCAUGGCAAUUAGGAUCCAAAAAGAGGUAAUCAAGGACUGUUUGAUUGAUGGUGUAAACCCUGGGUGAGGCGGACGAGGCCGCUGAAAAAGGUGCCAAUGUGGGCGGGUGGUGCCAAGGACCCCAAAGAUAUUGUGGUGGUUCUGUGGAAUCUGAGCAUAUCACAGGGGUGAUUAAUAGGAACCCACAGAAUAGAAAAAACUCCAAACCAGACAUUUUAGUUUGUAGAUGGUCUCGGGCGCUGAGCGUCGGUCCCAGAAGGGUCGAGUUGACUUGUGUCCGCGGGCUUAUCCUCCUGUGCUUUAUCAGGAACUGGUGGGGAGUUUACUGCUCGCGUCAAUCUUUCCGGGACCCACAGUGGCUCGCGACCUGGUUCCUGUGGGAAAACACAAACCGCACCUCGGGUCCAGCUAACCACUGGAUCCGGGCCCAUCCAUUGUCCUGUAAGGACAUCUUUCCAUCUAACCAGCCCUUUGUCGGUUGGGGACGGAUUGCUAUGUUCCAUGGCAGGGGAAUGAUUAUGGUAAAGAGUGCCAAUGAUAUUCUUCCUUUGGGCGUUAGGCCAUGGCCUAUUCCCUCCUUUUGUUUUUGUAAGACACCCUUGAGUGUCCGAUGGGAUCGCUCAAUGAUGCCUUGUCCUUGGGGGUUGUAAGGAAUGCCAUGUUUAAGAGUGACCUCCAUUUGUUGACAAAAUGUCAUAAAAAUUUUGCUGGUAUAGGCAGGACCAUUGUCUGUUUUUAGUAUAUUGGGCUUUCCCCAAGCAGCCCAGGCUGCCAGGCAAUGAUUAAUAGCAUGGGUGGCCCUUUCUCCAGGUUCUGCCGAAGCAAACAUAACCUGAGAAGCGGUGUCAACCGAAACAUGUACAUAUUUUUCCGAAUUCUGGGAUGUGUGUUUGCCAAAUAUGAUUGGGGCGCAGUCCUCUCGGGUUAACACCAAUAGAUUGUUGAGGUGAAGAGAUCACACAGACCUGCCAAUGCCUCUAAAAGCGCCAUGGUAAAUGGUGCAUUGGGCCCAUAAGCUGAAACUGCGUCCUUGAUAGCUUUAAGUUGUUUAAUUUCUAAGGGCUCAUAAUAUCCUCCUCCUCCCCUGCCUCCUACUUGUACCGGGAAUGCAUGGAGACCGGAACACUCAAAGGGAAGCCGCGACCAUACCCUCUGGUGGAAGGAACGUCCUCCUCCCUCCCCAGAUGGGGGCGCAGAAGGCAACCCAGGAAGUAGCUCUCCCUCUAACCAGGGCGGUGCCAUAGUUUGUGGGCGCCCUCUGGCGGCCACGGGUGGAGGUGGCAGCCCAGGGAGCAACUCCUCUUCCGGCCACGGCGGUGCAGUAGGGCCUGGCACCCUGAAGGGGGCGACCAUGGGUCGCGAGCUUCGGAGCCCUUGUGUUUCUCUGGAGGCCCAAAGUCAGGUGUGACUUCGGGCUCCUCCGAGCACUCGGAUCAAGCUUUGUCAAGAGCCUGUCGGGCUGAGCAAAGCCCGGGGGUUUGUUCGUCCGUCAGACAAGCCCUAAUCAGUUCCCACAGGGGUAAAACCAUGGGAUCCAAGCGUCCCUCUUCUCGGGCACAUCUAAGAUCCCCUCCUAACUUCUCCCAUGACGGGAGGGUUAGAGAGCCCAUGGGCCAAAACCAGGGGGCAAUUUCAUUAACACGAUCCAGAAAUCUCGAAAGGGUGACCCGGUUUAUGUAGAUGCCUCGGGUCCGCAGCAGGACUCUUAGGGAGUCAGCGAGGGGUUUGCGAGCAGCGUUGCCCACAAUGGCGAAACGAAAGUGAAACAAAUGCAAAGAAAAAAAAAAAAAAGACCGGCGUCCACCCGUGUGGCGCUCAAAAUCUGUUAGGUGCGUCCACCCAACCCAGGCGAUCCAGUACUCACCUGUCCCGGGAACCGCUGUAUCUCACGUAGCUGAUCAGGGUGAAGAGAAGAGGCGCUCAAGGCCUUCCAUUGUUAUUGGGCCAGGUCCUCCGUCGUACCGCAGGCGACAGCAAUCGCACCUCCCGGCCGAAGAGGCACGUCGCUGAGUCUUUUACCUUUUUCCCCGUACGGGCCACCAGAUGACCGGAGCCGCGGGAGACAGGAGACCAAACUCGAGCAGGAUCAGCUCUCAAACUUUAUUGCGUACAGCGAACCGGACCUAACAAGGUCCGCCACCCUCAACGUUGGUUCCUCUUCUGCCCGUUGGGGGCAGGAACAACCUCUUAUAAGGGGAAGCAGUAUCCAAUCACAGAGAAGCACGUCUAACAAGCGGAUAGGCUAGCGUCACGGGUAACUGGGCAGACCUGACAAUUUGGCGGGCUUGUUCAGGCCGGGAAGAACCCGGAAGCAGGAAAUGGGCGCCAUCAUAGGCGGCUUCCCACAGAGCAGGAGGAGAGAGGGGUCCCCUGGACACAGGAAGGGUCUCAACUGAGACUUGAAGCUCAGGGAGGGAGAGAAUCCAGCAAUCCAGCAAAAAUAAGAACACCAUAUACAAUAUAGCAAAUAAGGGGAUUUCUUUGUACCAUCUUUUUGAAGGCAAAUAUUUUUACUACUGUUUUGCUUUAUUCUUAUUAAUGGUACUGUUCUAUUCAAUAUUCUGUUUUGAUAAGUUUUAUAAUGUUGUGUACUUCAUUUUAUUUUGCUAUACGUGAUUGAAACAACAAGUAUUGUGAAGAUAACAAGAUAUACUGUGGUACAUAUUGCUGUUAUCCCAGUAGCCUGCUGUAAAGUCCUGUAUCAGUUUCACUACACGGUCUCAAUUGGCUUUGCUCUGUCUUGUUCUGUUGUGUUUUACUACCUUCAAAAUAAUAAAUAAAUAAAAACUUUCAAA